rnacentral:rRNA from 1 species
CCGCGAGGCGUAGGCGAUGCACAUACGGUAGAAAUUCCGUAACCACCGAACUUUAAGCAUGAGGGACACUUUGAGAUAGCGGAACCCGGGCGUUGGUUGACCCGGGCGAAAGGGACCGAAAUAUAGUAGGGAAGUCCGCGAUGCUCGGAGGCGAGAAAAGCUCAUGUGUAUACUAAGGUGCCCGUACCGCAAACCGACACAGGUAGAUGAGGAGAGAAUCCUAAGGCCAACGGGAGAAGGGUUGUUAAGGAACUCGGCAAGAUGACCCCGUAACUUCGGAAGAAGGGGAGCCUCGAAAGAGGCCGCAGUGAAUAGGCCCAAGCAACUGUUUACCAAAAACACAGGUUUAUGCUAAAUCGAAAGAUGACGUAUAUGAGCUGACGCCUGCCCGGUGCCGGAAGGUUAAGAGGAGAUGUCAACCGCAAGGUGAAGCAUUGAAUUGAAGCCCCGGUAAACGGCGGCCGUAACAAUAACGGUCCUAAGGUAGCGAAAUUCCUUGUCAGGUAAGUUCUGACCCGCACGAAAGGCGUAAUGAUUUGGGCACUGUCUCAACAGCCCGCCCGGCGAAAUUGUAGUACUGGUGAAGAUGCCAGUUACCCGCAACUAGACGGAAAGACCCCAUGGAGCUUUACUGCAGCUUAAUACUGGAAUUCGGUAAAUCAUGUACAGGAUAGGUGGGAGACAGGGAAGCAUUGGCGUCAGCCAGUGUGGAGUCGCUGGUGGGAUACCACUCUUGAUUUGCUGGGUUUCUAACCUGCGGCCGUGAAUCCGGUCGGGGGACACUGUUAGGCGGGCAGUUUGACUGGGGCGGUCGCCUCCAAAAGAGUAACGGAGGCGCUCAAAGGUUGGCUCAGCACGGACGGAAAUCGUGCAAUGAGUGUAAACGUAUAAGCCAGCCUAACUGCGAGACCGACGGGUCGAGCAGUAACGAAAGUUGGAGUUAGUGAUCCGGUGGUAUGUGAGUGGAAAUGCCAUCGCUCAACGGAUAAAAGCUACCCUGGGAUAACAGGCUGAUCUCCCCCAAGCGUCCACAGCGACGGGGAGGUUUGGCACCUCGAUGUCGACUCGUCACAUCCUGGGGCUGUAUUCGGUCCCAAGGGUUCGGCUGUUCGCCGAUUAAAGUGGCACGCGAGCUGGGUUCAGAACGUCGUGAGACAGUUCGGUCCCUAUCUGUUGCGGGCGAAAGAGAUUUGAAGGGAGCUGUCCUUAGUACGAGAGGACCGGGAUGGACGUACCUCUGGUGCACCAGUUGUCCUGCCAAGGGCAUAGCUGGGUAGCUAUGUACGGACGAGAUAAACGCUGAAAGCAUCUAAGCGUGAAACUCCCCCUAAGAUGAGAUCUCUCAUCCUUCAUGGAGUAAGGGCCCAGGAAGACUACCUGGUUGAUAGGCAAGAGGUGGAAGCGCAGUAAUGUGUGUAGCUGACUUGUACUAAUAGCCCGAGGGCUUGACU